rnacentral:rRNA from 1 species
CCUACGGGAGGCAGCAGUGGGGAAUAUUGGGCAAUGGGCGCAAGCCUGACCCAGCAACGCCGCGUGAAGGAAGAAGGCUUUCGGGUUGUAAACUUCUUUUGUCAGGGAAGAGUAGAAGACGGUACCUGACGAAUAAGCCACGGCUAACUACGUGCCAGCAGCCGCGGUAAUACGUAGGUGGCAAGCGUUGUGCGGGUUUACUGGGUGUAAAGGGCGUGUAGCCGGGUUGACAAGUCAGAUGUGAAAGCCUGCGGCUUAACCGUAGAACUGCAUUUGAAACUGGUAGUCUUGAGUACUGGAGAGGCAGACGGAAUUCCUAGUGUAGCGGUGAAAUGCUUAGAUAUUAGGAGGAACACCAGUGGCGAAGGCGGUCUGCUGGACAGCAACUGACGGUGAGGCGCGAAAGCGUGGGGAGCAAACAGGAUUAGAUACCCUAGUAGUC